AUGUCACAGGAGGCUCGAAUGUUAACGUAGCUGUUGAAACUUUGGGAAAUCCAAAAACAUUCGUGCAAUGCAUACAGAGUGUUCGUAAUGGAGACAAUGCUGCAAUGAUUUGACUUAAACUAUAUGGUGCUAAGGUGGAUGUGCAUAUAAACCACUUAGUGCGACGAUAGUUUCUGGAGACUUAGAGCAUACAAAAUGGAGAUGCAAGAUCUGAAGAAUCCAUACAACUUGCCAGUAGAUUAUCAUUUUACUAGGACUAUUAGGAGAAAGCAUAUCUUAUUCUCUAAGGAUGAUACAUAUUUUUGGCGGAGGGGUUCUGUAAAAUGUAGUGACUACAGUGCUACUUUGUUUCCUGUUUUUGUAAUUAAUACAAAAUAUAAAUGAAAGCAUGAUAUUAUUUAUAA